UUCACAACAAUGCAAAGAAUGCUUGGAGAAGAAUCUGAGAAAAUGUGACUGUCUGGUUUCGCUUGCUCUUUGUGAACCUUUUGAAGUCCCUGAGGGAUGCCGGCAAGAUCAGUAGCUUUGUGGAUUGUAUUCAAUGUUUAAAGAUUGCAAAGAACAGGUAAAGAAGACAAGAUUGUAAUUUGAAAGCUUUGACUUGAAGGCAAUUAAACAAGUUUUGGUUUUAUACCUGUUGACUUAGAUUUUUUACAAUUAAGGGCUUUGCACACAUAUAUGUAACGUAUGUAUUGUGUACAGUAAUCAUACAACACGAUUAAAAUGAAUCAC
rnacentral:sRNA from 1 species